GCGCGGGUAGCUCAGUGGUAGAGCGUUCGAUUGCAGCUCGAAGGGUCUUGGUUUUUGGGACUCGUCGGAGCUUGUUGUG
rnacentral:tRNA from 1 species